rnacentral:rRNA from 1 species
UACGUAGGUGGCUAGCGUUGUCCGGAUUUACUGGGCGUAAAGAGCGCGCAGGCGGUCGUUCAAGUCGCGUGUGAAAGCCCCCGGCUCAACUGGGGAGGGUCACGCGAUACUGCUCGACUUGAAGGCAGGAGAGGGAAGUGGAAUUCCCGGUGUAGUGGUGAAAUGCGUAGAUAUCGGGAGGAACACCAGUGGCGAAGGCGACUUCCUGGCCUGUUCUUGACGCUGAGGCGCGAAAGCUAGGGUAGCGAACGGG